GCUGGCGGCAGGCCUAACACAUGCAAGUCGAACGGUAACAGGAAGCAGCUUGCUGCUUUGCUGACGAGUGGCGGACGGGUGAGUAAUGUCUGGGAAACUGCCUGAUGGAGGGGGAUAACUACUGGAAACGGUGGCUAAUACCGCAUAACGUCGCAAGACCAAAGAGGGGGACCUUCGGGCCUCUUGCCAUCAGAUGUGCCCAGAUGGGAUUAGCUUGUUGGUGAGGUAACGGCUCACCAAGGCGACGAUCCCUAGCUGGUCUGAGAGGAUGACCAGCCACACUGGAACUGAGACACGGUCCAGACUCCUACGGGAGGCAGCAGUGGGGAAUAUUGCACAAUGGGCGCAAGCCUGAUGCAGCCAUGCCGCGUGUAUGAAGAAGGCCUUCGGGUUGUAAAGUACUUUCAGCGGGGAGGAAGGUGUUGUGGUUAAUAACCGCAGCAAUUGACGUUACCCGCAGAAGAAGCACCGGCUAACUCCGUGCCAGCAGCCGCGGUAAUACGGAGGGUGCAAGCGUUAAUCGGAAUUACUGGGCGUAAAGCGCACGCAGGCGGUCUGUCAAGUCGGAUGUGAAAUCCCCGGGCUCAACCUGGGAACUGCAUUCGAAACUGGCAGGCUUGAGUCUUGUAGAGGGGGGUAGAAUUCCAGGUGUAGCGGUGAAAUGCGUAGAGAUCUGGAGGAAUACCGGUGGCGAAGGCGGCCCCCUGGACAAAGACUGACGCUCAGGUGCGAAAGCGUGGGGAGCAAACAGGAUUAGAUACCCUGGUAGUCCACGCCGUAAACGAUGUCUACUUGGAGGUUGUGCCCUUGAGGCGUGGCUUCCGGAGCUAACGCGUUAAGUAGACCGCCUGGGGAGUACGGCCGCAAGGUUAAAACUCAAAUGAAUUGACGGGGGCCCGCACAAGCGGUGGAGCAUGUGGUUUAAUUCGAUGCAACGCGAAGAACCUUACCUGGUCUUGACAUCCACAGAACUUUCCAGAGAUGGAUUGGUGCCUUCGGGAACUGUGAGACAGGUGCUGCAUGGCUGUCGUCAGCUCGUGUUGUGAAAUGUUGGGUUAAGUCCCGCAACGAGCGCAACCCUUAUCCUUUGUUGCCAGCGGUCCGGCCGGGAACUCAAAGGAGACUGCCAGUGAUAAACUGGAGGAAGGUGGGGAUGACGUCAAGUCAUCAUGGCCCUUACGACCAGGGCUACACACGUGCUACAAUGGCGCAUACAAAGAGAAGCGACCUCGCGAGAGCAAGCGGACCUCAUAAAGUGCGUCGUAGUCCGGAUUGGAGUCUGCAACUCGACUCCAUGAAGUCGGAAUCGCUAGUAAUCGUGGAUCAGAAUGCCACGGUGAAUACGUUCCCGGGCCUUGUACACACCGCCCGUCACACCAUGGGAGUGGGUUGCAAAAGAAGUAGGUAGCUUAACCUUCGGGAGGGCGCUUACCACUUUGUGAUUCAUGACUGGGGUGAAGUCGUAACAAGGUAACCGUAGGGGAACCUGCGGUUGGA
rnacentral:rRNA from 1 species